rnacentral:rRNA from 1 species
UACGGAGGGGACUAGCGUUGUUCGGAAUUACUGGGCGUAAAGCGCACGUAGGCGGAUUUGUAAGUCAGGGGGUGAAAUCCCGGGGCUCAACCUCGGAACUGCCUUUGAUACUGCAAAUCUCGAGUCCGGAAGAGGUGAGUGGAAUUCCUAGUGUAGAGGUGAAAAUUCGUAGAUAUUGGGAGGAACACCAGUGGCGAAGGGCGGCUCACUGGUCCAUUACUGACGCUGAGGUGCGAAAGCGUGGGGAGCAAACAGGG